UACGAAGGGGGCUAGCGUUGCUCGGAAUUACUGGGCGUAAAGCGCACGUAGGCGGAUUGUUAAGUCGGGGGUGAAAUCCUGGAGCUCAACUCCAGAACUGCCUUCGAUACUGGCGAUCUCGAGUUCGGGAGAGGUGAGUGGAACUGCGAGUGUAGAGGUGAAAUACAUAGAGAUGUCAUAGAACACCGAUUGCGAAGGCAGCUAACAAAACUGUAACUGACACUGAGGCUCGAAAGUGUGGGGAUCAAACAGG
rnacentral:rRNA from 1 species